GACGAACGCUGGCGGCGUGUCUAAUACAUGCAAGUCGAACGGUCUUUUCUAUGGAAGCUUGCUUCCGCUGAGAAGAUAGUGGCGAACGGGUGAGUAACACGUGGGUAACCUGCCCAUAAGAGGGGGAUAACAUCCGGAAACGGGUGCUAAUACCGCAUAGUUUUCUUGAUCGCAUGAUUGAGAAAGGAAAGACGGCCUUUGUGCUGUCGCUUAUGGAUGGACCCGCGGCGUAUUAGUUAGUUGGUGAGGUAACGGCUCACCAAGACGAUGAUACGUAGCCGGCCUGAGAGGGUGAUCGGCCACAUUGGGACUGCGACACGGCCCAAACUCCUACGGGAGGCAGCAGUAGGGAAUCUUCCGCAAUGGACGAAAGUCUGACGGAGCAACGCCGCGUGUGUGAAGAAGGUUUUCGGAUCGUAAAACUCUGUUGUCAGAGAAGAACAAGUCGGAGAGUAACUGCUCCGGCCUUGACGGUAUCUGACCAGAAAGCCACGGCUAACUACGUGCCAGCCGCCGCGGUAACAC
rnacentral:rRNA from 1 species